rnacentral:ncRNA from 10 species
UCCCAGCAUCCAGAGAGGCCAUGGUGGCCUCGCCAACCUGCUCCUCCAGCAAGGUGGCAUCCCGAUCAAGGGAGAUGCGGCCCGACAGGGCAACGAAAGGAGAUCC